GACGAAACGUGCGAACGUUAUUCGGAGUCACUGGGCUUAAAGCGCGUGUAGGCGGAUGGGAACGUCGGUAGUUGAAAGCCCCCGGCUCAACCGGGGAAGUGGUGCCGAAACGACCCGUCUGGAGGGACGUAGGGGGACCUGGAACUUCCGGUGGAGCGGUGAAAUGCGUUGAGAUCGGAAGGAACGCCCGUGGCGAAAGCGAGGUCCUGGACGUCUACUGACGCUGAGACGCGAAAGCUAGGGGAGCAAACGGG
rnacentral:rRNA from 1 species